UGAGCUUCAGGCCAUGGCUAUUUAAUUAUUGAAGAAGUGUUUUAAGAAGUGACAGAGAAACAUUGCCUUCUUCCUUGAUGUAUUACACUCUUACUGUGGCCUGAUCCAGAAAACAAGGAGGUGAAUGUAUUUUAUUCCCAUGAUCUCUACAAGUCUGUUCACACACACUGAAGAUCACUCUCCAGAGUACGGCCCUUCCAAGCCAGUUGUCUCUCUCCUUGAAGAGCUCCAUUAUGUCAGUCAAGCAAAACUACUGGGGACAGUUUUCAUCUAGUUUUUCUAGAUAACAUCAGGUCAGGCUACGGAGAAUUUGGAUGAAGAUUGUUUAUAGCGGUAAUAUUCUAUAGAAAAUCCAUUCAGAGAAUAUAAAGAUUGCAGUGUUCAAGGAAACAAGACUGUGUUGUGCUUCACUUUUUGUAGAAUACAGAAUAUAGAAUUUCACGUGAGCGUCCGUUUUACACAUUUACCAGCAGGAGUUCAGAACAAGGCUAGCGGCAAAUAAGCAAGUUCAUAGAGAUUUUAAUUUCUGUUAUUUGCUUUUUAUAUCUGUAAAGGAACAUGAAAUAUUUCUUCAGAAAUAUGUCACUGUGCUCAAGCGACUCUCUUAUGCAUAUCUAAUGGAGAAUAGUCCAAGUGAUAAGUUAGUAAAUGUGUCACAAGCUGAUGUUUGCAGUUCCAGCUAGGCUCCAUAUGCACAUUUAGGUGUCUAAAUACACUUUGUAAUCUAGCCCUCAGCUAUCUAGGCAUUCAAAAGUGAGACUCAGAAUUUCGUGUCAGUUGCACGGUUUUGUAUAAACUACCUUAAAUAUAUUAAAAUGUUUUUCCUAUAAACACUUGUGGAAGUGCAUAGCUGAUAUUUAUUUAUUUAAACUUUCUGACAUUAUGUCUCUAUAAAUAUUUUAAAAUAUACUAAAAGAAUACUGAAUUUAAUUUAAAUGUAAUUAUUUGAUAAAAGUUCUGUAUAUUCAUUACACAGAAAGAAUAUGUAGUUUCAUUGGUAAUUACUGUCACUUUCUGUAAUUCAUAUCUGGCAUGUGUUUAAAAUAUUUUUUUUAUAUCAUAAUUUUUUGUUGUGUCUGCUAAUUAGGACAAGCAUGAAUGCUAUUUACUCAUUGAAAUUAAGAAAAAAUAAUAUAGUCACCUAUUACCCCUUAUCAUCAUUUCAUAAUUGUAAUGGUGUUACAAGAUGAACACUUUUUUUUUUUUCUG